UAGAACCUAGAGAAAUCAAUGUUCUCACAAUGGUAUCAAUUUUUAUUUUCAUAGUCCCAUUUCUUAGAUAUGAAGUAUCACCUCAAAGUCAACCAAUUUUUUUUUUUUUUUUUUUUUUUAACACAGGAACAAUUUGCUAUUUGCUUGAUUUCAACAAGAAAUAAAGUGACCAUUUUCAACAAGAUACAUCUAUAUUAAAUAUUGAUUUUUUUAAUAUAAAAAUUAUAUAUUUAUAGUCUUCUUCUCUUUAGCUACAACCUCAGGUGGUUCACAAAUCUCAAAGAUAUUAACGAUGAUGGAAAGCCGAGGGAUUCAUGGCCGAAUGGAAUACCACUGGCAGUGGAGUAUCCACUGGGCCAGCAGGUUAGGG
rnacentral:sRNA from 1 species